rnacentral:misc_RNA from 1 species
CCACGUCCUGCCGCCCUGCGGCGCUGGCCACCGAUAUCCGCAAGCUGCUUGGGCACAUGAUCCUGCGACGGCUUGGCGGCCAUGUUGCAGACAGACUGCAACCACACCGCCACGGCUUCCGUCCCCACCGCUCCACCGUAGGUCUCCCCGGGCUUGCCCCUCCACAAAGCAGCCCGGCACCAGGCAGACACCAGACAUGCGCAGCGUUUGUGGGCUCUAUGCCUGCACGCGUGGCUCGGCAGGUCGCGGCGCUACCAUUGCGGCGCUAAGGAGGUACUGUGUAGACCCGUGCCGCGCCCGCUGAGCCAACGGGCUCUCAGACGGUGGUUGCGCCCGCGGCCGCUUCCAGAAGAGGCCCGGGCUUGCACGCGUUGCUCCACAGGGGUCUGCCCAGGGCCCUCCUCCCCCCACCUCUAUGGCGGGCUCGCUGGGUGCGGGGGGUGGGGGAACAGUGCACCCGGGCUGCGCCACGCCUUCUUAGCUGAUACGCUCGCGCCCCCGCGCCCUCCGCAGACAAGGGCGUCGCGCCGGCCGCGCUGCCAUACGCCCUCUGGGGGCGGGGCGCUUAGUGGGGCUCUGGGUGCCCCCCAAAAAAGGAUGUGCACCCGCCUUGGCGCGCGGCGCCGCAACCAACCGCAACUCCCCGCCGCACCAACGCGCUUGGAAAAGGGUCGCUGCCCUCGCCUUCCGGGCCUGGGCUUUUGCCAAGUGCGCGGCAUUGGCCACGGCGUCGCCGCGGCUAUGGGGGGGGGUGGCCGCGGCUCGUCUUGGCGGGGCGGGGGCGGGGCCCGCCGAAGGACCCGCCCCGGUUCCCCCAGGUGGCGCUGCUCGAACCAAGGCUGCUCUAUGGCGCCGGCGCGUGGACGAACGGAGCUCGCCGAAACUGCUGGGGGGCCUUUGGGGGCUUUCACGCGAACGCGGCCGCAGUCAUCGCGGGCACCCCCCCCCCCUCGCGACACGCAGGCAACGGGAAUCCAACGAGAGAGGCGGGGGCACACUGUCCCUCGACAACGUGGCGCUGCUGCGCCGCAUCCGCCCGCAUCCCCCCGCGCCGACGCGAGGAGGCCACCUUGCAUAUUCGAUGCGGUGUGUGUGUGUGUGUGUGCGUCGGAUGGCGGUGUGGCCACGGCGCGUCGGCAGUUCUCGAGCGGCUAUACCGGCGUGGGCCCUUUCGGGGCACCGCACGCACACGCAUCGCCCAUGCGCAGCGUUCGCGUGUGGUCUCGCAUCUCUCUCCCUCGCGGGCUGUGUGCGGACACUCUCGUCGAGGAUAAAGCAGCGGCAUGCAGGCAGCGACCCUCUCGCCUCGCGAAGCGCCCAUGCUCGCUGUGGGAGGAUGGCGCGGUACAGACAGGCAUCCUGCCAGGAGCGGCCGCGACGCCUUAUUGCAACAGUAUGCCCGCAGGCGCGGCAGCGGCAGGCCGCGGCCAGCUUGCUCGCAGUUGUCGCACUGAGUGUCAAGCAGUGGGUCUGGAGCUUGAGCUGCAACGGCGACAGCUCGAUGAGCUCAGGCGCGAAAAGCUAAUGGUCGUUGCUGCUCCGGACUCGGUCUUUCUCCCCAUGGCGCUCGGCGCGGGCCCUAAAACGGCGGGGGUGAGGUGUUGCGGCGUGUUGGGGUGCAGAUGCCGGCGCUGCUAGCCCGUCGCGUGCGCCUCUCAUUUCCGUUUGCCUUUGGCCGUUGAGGAUGGGAGCACCGUGGCGAAGCUGACGAGCUUGCAAAAUCGGCAACGCCAGAGGCGCCGACGCCAGCUGCACGGAUCGCGGGCCUGGUCUCCGGUCGCAGAUGCCAGGCCGACAUCCCCCUUCAUCCGCACGGCAGACGCCUGCUGCCGCCGCCCUCGAGCGCAGGACCCUGGACGCGGCCCGCUGGGAUCAAGACAUGCAGUGCAGCCAGGUCCGUGCGGAGUCCGCCGCGCAGCGCGUACCCGACGAGGAGGCGGGGAAGGGCAGGAAGAGCUUGAUAGGUGCAUGACCCGAUUCGGUGGCAGGACGGCUUGUCCCAUGACGGCCAGGCGUUAGCGGCAGUGCCGCGGCGGCAGGCGAUCGGUGGCUGUGUGGUUGUGCAUGCGUAUCCGUUUGCUGGCUUGUUCGCGUGUGCCAGGAGAAUCGAAAAUGAAGCUAAUGGCAUAACUGAACUUUUGAUUCCCCUCAGUCCAGGUGAAGGAGCGAGGCGUCGAUGGAGUGAGAAGCGGAAUAGAGGGAAUCGGUGUUGUUGCUGUUUGUCUUGCCGUGGCCCUUCGGGGCGGGGUUAGGAUGCCUUGAGGCGGGCUGUGUGCCAGAGGACCCCGGAGAGCGAAGGAAAUGCGUUAGUGAAUGAGAGUCCGAGGGCUGCAAGGCGGUACUUUGAAAAUGCGGAGGUGAUACUGUGAGUGAAGACGUUUUUUGGAGAUGAGUGUUCGCCGUUUAUUAUUCGAUGAGCUGAAAUUAGCGUCAGGGGGGGGUAUAAAAUUCUUCCGCAGUGUUUGGAUGCCCCUCAGAAAGCUGCCCUGCGGUGUCGGGGGGGGGGCGGUUGAGAAGAGGCGCGCGCGUGGUUUCGUACGUUUGAAAGUGUGAGGAUGGGAUGUCGAGGAGAAAGGCUGGGGCUGGCGCUGCCGCAUCGACUCCGAUGAGAUGGGUAAGAGCGAGAACUGUCGUAAGGACGUGCAGGGAUGGUAAGCGCACACUCACCAGAGAACAAUCACGCAACUGCGCGAGAAGUACUGUGCUGACGGGUGGACCGAUGACCGUGCAGUUUUCGCUGCAGAGGCGAGUUUGGGCAGGUCAAGAGGGCUGUUCGUAGAGUCCGAGAUGUGCAUGGUACCAUCUCAAAUACAAGUGGCCGCGUUUUACAGCACCACCAACCUCGAUGUUUUGCUUUUUUUUUCGUUUCAGCUGUGAAUCUGGGGAUGGUCUGGCGACGAGUGCAAUCAGCAUCUAUUAGAAGCAGCUGCAAGACAAUCGGGGAAAUUUCCUUGUUAUAUAUAUAUAUAUAUAUAUGUGGCACGCUAGUGUCAGAACAAGCGGUCUUGAGGUUUUUUUUGGAUAUGGAGCGCUAUUUUGGUCACGUCUGAGUAGCAAAACAACAAAAGUCAAGAUUUCUGUAAGGCGAAGAAACACGUUUAGUUGGAAAAUUCUUCCUACAGUCGAAAUAAAAG